rfam:Gilliamella sp. R-53248 genome assembly, contig: Ga0061081_103
AAAAAGGUGCUUUUCAGCACCCUUUCAUUUAGUCAUAAAUUAUGGUU